GUCUACGGCCAUGCCACCCUGAACGUGCCCAAUCCCGUCUGAUCUCGGAAGCUAAGCAGGGUCGGGCCUGGUUAGUACUUAGAUGGGAGACCACCUAGGAAGACCAGGUGCUGUAAGUG
rnacentral:rRNA from 1 species